CCAGGACACAAAUAAUCCACCUGUUACACGAGGACAUAACCAGUGCCCUGUCCUGGUCAUGCUAAAUGCUGUGACACGCGGACUCAGACAGCCAUCAGGAAGUUUAGAUCUGACUCGACGUGCCAGUGGAUGGAGGCCCAAAGUCAGAGGUUGACUCUUUCAUCAUCAUUAUGAACAAGCUUUAUUAAAGAUUAUGAAUUCAGUUUCCAAGGGAGUUAUAAAUGGUUUUCUACAGAGAGAUUAUUUACUUGGUUUGUUGUUUUCACAGAUAAUAUGUGUUUUGACCCAUUGGGGUUAUGUAGCUCAUGUAUUAAAAUUGGAAGUUUAUUCUGUUGUUCUUAACAUCUGUGACCUGCAAUGUUUGAUUUGAUCUCUGAA